rnacentral:rRNA from 1 species
CGUGCAGGCGGUUUGGUAAGUUGGAUGUGAAAGCUCCGGGCUUAACCCGGAGAGGUCGUUCAAAACUGCCAGACUAGAGGACGGUAGAGGGAGGUGGAAUUCCGGGUGUAGUGGUGAAAUGCUUAGAUAUCCGGAGGAACACCAGUGGCGAAAGCGGCCUCCUGGACCGUUCCUGACGCUAAGACGCGAAAGCUAGGGUAGCAAACG